GGUACUCGGAGGGAGGUUGUCCGUGGUGAGUUCGCAUUAUUUAAUGAUGCCCAAUACACGGUUGACCUCUUUUCGGUAUC
rnacentral:pre_miRNA from 1 species